rnacentral:rRNA from 1 species
CUAGAGACCGGCGCACGGGUGCGUAACGCGUAUGCAAUCUACCUUUCACAAAGGGAUAGCCCAGAGAAAUUUGGAUUAAUACCUUAUAGUAUAGCGACUUCGCAUGGAGAUGCUAUUAAAGAUUUAUCGGUGAAAGAUGAGCAUGCGUCCCAUUAGCUAGUUGGUAAGGUAACGGCUUACCAAGGCUACGAUGGGUAGGGGUCCUGAGAGGGAGAUCCCCCACACUGGUACUGAGACACGGACCAGACUCCUACGGGAGGCAGCAGUGAGGAAUAUUGGUCAAUGGGCGCAAGCCUGAACCAGCCAUGCCGCGUGCAGGAUGACGGUCCUAUGGAUUGUAAACUGCUUUUGUACAGGAAGAAACACUCCCUCGUGAGGGAGCUUGACGGUACUGUAAGAAUAAGGAUCGGCUAACUCCGUGCCAGCAGCCGCGGUAAUACGGAGGAUCCAAGCGUUAUCCGGAAUCAUUGGGUUUAAAGGGUCCGUAGGCGGCUUAAUAAGU